GAUCUGGUUCAGGACGAACGCUGGCGGCGUGCCUAAUACAUGCAAGUCGAACGGUCUUUCUAUGGAAGCUUGCUUCCACUGAGAAGAUAGUGGCGAACGGGUGAGUAACACGUGGGUAACCUGCCCAUAAGAGGGGGAUAACAUCCGGAAACGGGUGCUAAUACCGCAUAGUUUUCUUGAUCGCAUGAUCGGGAAAGGAAAGACGGCCUUUGUGCUGUCGCUUAUGGAUGGACCCGCGGCGUAUUAGUUAGUUGGUGAGGUAACGGCUCACCAAGACGAUGAUACGUAGCCGACCUGAGAGGGUGAUCGGCCACAUUGGGACUGAGACACGGCCCAAACUCCUACGGGAGGCAGCAGUAGGGAAUCUUCCGCAAUGGACGAAAGUCUGACGGAGCAACGCCGCGUGAGUGAAAGAAGGUUUUCGGAUCGUAAAACUCUGUUGUCAGAGAAGAACAAGUUGGAGAGUAACUGCUCCAGCCUUGACGGUAUCUGACCAGAAAGCCACGGCUAACUACGUGCCAGCCGCCGC
rnacentral:rRNA from 1 species